rnacentral:rRNA from 1 species
AAUACCGGAUAUGACCAUCUUGGGCAUCCUUGAUGGUGUAAAGCUCCGGCGGUGCAGGAUGAGCCCGCGGCCUAUCAGCUUGUUGGUGAGGUAAUGGCUCACCAAGGCGACGACGGGUAGCCGGCCUGAGAGGGCGACCGGCCACACUGGGACUGAGACACGGCCCAGACUCCUACGGGAGGCAGCAGUGGGGAAUAUUGCACAAUGGGCGAAAGCCUGAUGCAGCGACGCCGCGUGAGGGAUGACGGCCUUCGGGUUGUAAACCUCUUUCAGCAGGGAAGAAGCGAAAGUGACGGUACCUGCAGAAGAAGCGCCGGCUAACUACGUGCCAGCAGCCGCGGUAAUACGUAGGGCGCAAGCGUUGUCCGGAAUUAUUGGGCGUAAAGAGCUCGUAGGCGGCUUGUCACGUCGAUUGUGAAAGCUCGGGGCUUAACCCCGAGUCUGCAGUCGAUACGGGCUAGCUAGAGUGUGG